UACAGAGGUCCCAAGCGUUGUUCGGAAUUACUGGGCGUAAAGGGUGCGUAGGCGGCGCUCUAAGUCGGAUGUGAAAACUCUGGGCUCAACCCAGAGCCUGCAUCCGAAACUGGAGUGCUAGAGUUCUGGAGGGGGUAGCGGAAUUCCUGGUGUAGCGGUGAAAUGCGUAGAUAUCAGGAGGAACACCGGUGGCGAAGGCGGCUACCUGGACAGAAACUGACGCUGAGGCACGAAAGCUAGGGGAGCAAACAGG
rnacentral:rRNA from 1 species